rnacentral:lncRNA from 1 species
GCUCCAACGAAGAAAAAUUCUCUCCCUGACUCACUCUCGCAUCUUUCCCUCUCUCGGACGAAGGCUACGGACAGAAAAGAGAGAAGGAAAGAAAUUUUUGCAAGAGGUCCCUGGCAUUUCUCUCUCGGCUGGAGCAGAACGAGCAAACAAAAAGGGAAGAAGAAAUUUGCAGCAGAGGCCCCUGGCUCCUCCCUUCUGGAAUUCUCCUCCCUCGGAUCUAGGCAGAAAGACAAGAAGAAAAUUUGCGUAAGAAGUCCUUGGCUCAUCUCUCUCUGUCUCGCCUCUCUCAGCCAGAAAAAGAAAAACGCAAGAGAAAGGAAGAAAUUUGCGAAAGAGACCUGGACUCUCUCAGUUAGAGUUCUCAGCAGAACAAAGGAAAAGGGAAGA